CUGUUGGUGCUGGCACUUGAUUCUUGAUAAAUUUCAGUAUUUGCCUCAUCUGAUGUGCUGUUGCAUCGUUUGGUUGUUAGAGUUUCAUGGAUCUUGCUGUUGUACACCUGUACUAUUAUGAGUCUUUCCAUGUAAAUUUUCUGGGAGACUGACUAUUAGAUCUUCAAGUGCAUGGUACUUUUUUUCUUUUUUUUUUUUGGUUUAAGAAACUAUUUGUUGAAACAUGCCUGGAUUAUGUUAGUGGAUUACUGACGUUAGUUACCUAAGUAAUGCUAUUGUAAAAUUUGGUGUAUACCGAGAUUUUUC
rnacentral:lncRNA from 1 species